rnacentral:rRNA from 1 species
GACGAACGCUGGCGGCGUGCUUAACACAUGCAAGUCGAACGGAAAGGCCCUGCUUUUGUGGGGUGCUCGAGUGGCGAACGGGUGAGUAACACGUGAGUAACCUGCCCUUGACUUUGGGAUAACUUCAGGAAACUGGGGCUAAUACCGGAUAGGAGCUCCUGCUGCAUGGUGGGGGUUGGAAAGUCUCGGCGGUUGGGGAUGGACUCGCGGCUUAUCAGCUUGUUGGUGGGGUAGUGGCUUACCAAGGCUUUGACGGGUAGCCGGCCUGGGAGGGUGACCGGCCACAUUGGGACUGAGAUACGGCCCAGACUCCUACGGGAGGCAACAGUGGGGAGUAUUGCACAAUGGGCGGAAGCCUGAUGCAGCAACGCCGCGUGCGGGAUGACGGCCUUCGGGUUGUAAACCGCUUUAGCCUGUGACGAAGCGUGAGUGACGGUAAUGGGUAAAGAAGCACCGGCUAACUACGUG